UUAGUUACAAGAGUUAAAAAAUAGUAAGACCUUUCAAAAGAAGAGGAAAGUUUGAAGAUUUCACUUAAAUCCAAUUUGGAGGCCAAGGAGGAUGCUGUAGUGAACUGUAAAGUGUUUUCUUUGUGUUUCUUUUUUCCCUGCUAGUUUCAACUAACAUCUAAUUUAUGCAUAUAAAAAGUGAAAUUUGAUUUUAAACUCAGAGAAGAAUGGCAGGAUUUAUCUCUACUAUUUAAGUUAUGAGGGAAGAUUUUUUAAAAAGAGACAAAACAAAUAACAAAAAGAAUGUACAGAGGUAGAUGAAUUUGGAGGAUAGAAGAAUGCAAUGGACUAUUUGGAUCAAAGUAACAAUUGCUCCUCCCUCAUAGAUAAAGGAACUUUCUCAUAGAUAGGCAAGUAUGACCAUUGCCUGAAGAUAUAAUUCCUUGUGGCUCAUAGAAUGAUAAGGUAGAUUGACAGCUAUUAUUAGUGGGAGAUCAUCCAGAAAUGAUGAGGAAAAAUACAAAAAGAGUUGAAUAAUGAUUCAUUGUUACAGAGAAUUGAGCUGAGAGGGAUUUUCCCUAAGUCUUUGGUCUUCGGUGUCAACCUGCCAGCAGGACAAGGUCACUCCGACUUGCUUUCUCUCUGUUCUCCUUCCCUGCUUCUCUGAUUGGGGAGGGCUGCUUAGGCAACUUUUGUGUCACCUUUGGCCCAACUCUCACCUGUGGCUCCAAGAAGAUGUAGUAUGCACAUUGGCCACAUUCCAUCCAGGAAACCUUCUCAACAGGUCUGCUAAAAUAUAUUAAAGGUAACUGACAGAGCCCCAUUCCAUGGUGAGUUAGGGGGAUGUCUGCUUCAAGCAUAUGAAGACUUCCACUGGUAGAAUGUUAUAAUAGAUAUAUAUUGAAGAUGUAUCUGAUGGUAUUCUAAAUAACUAAUGAAUCAAGUUUUGUCUACCCUUAUCCUAUUUUCCUCC
rnacentral:lncRNA from 1 species